AAAACAUCAAACCAAAGUCAUAUUUUGCUGAGGAAUUUCACAAGACCUGCUUUAGAAAAGAGAGAGAGGGGAAGAGGAGCAGAGGAAGAGGGAGAAAGAAUCCCAAGCAAGCACCAUGCUCAGUGCAGAGCCUGAUGCAGGACUGGAUCUCAAGACCUCAAGAUCACAAACUGAGCCAAAAUCAAGAGUUGAACACCUAAUCAACUGAGUCACCCAGAGGCAUAUACUGUGAAGUGGAAACCCAAAAGAAAAGACAUAAAAGAAUUUGAAAAGAUGACGAAACUAUACAAAUAAAAGGACCAAUAUUCAUUCAUUUGGAUCUUGGGACACUUGGCAAUUUGAGCCACACACAAUGAGCUAUAACCACAGAAUUGAUCCCUAUGACUGGAAAAGGAAUCAAAAUAGCCAGGAAGAAUAAAAGACAUGCUGUUACUUCCAAUUUUUCACCACAAUAAUUUGGAGUCAGCAGGAAGAGGUGCUUAUGACAACCAAGAAACAGAAAUGGCAAGAAAAACAAAGAGACAUGUGAACAAACAAACAAAAACAACCACUGAACAAGACUAGAAGUCACCCAGAAGUGACUUCAAGUGGAAACGGUAAGAAGCUGACACAUUAAUGAAGAAAGAAGCAGACACUGAACAGCAAUGGCCAUAAAAGAAGAAAAAGAAAAGUAGAGAAUAAACUAUUAAAGUAUGGGGUAAUUAACUGAAAGGACAUGCCAAGUCCUAAAAACCUAUAAAAGGGUAUUACCAUGCCAUAUUAAAGCACACCAACAACACAGCAAUCUGGGAACAUUUUGUCUCAAAGAUAUGAGCCAUAUAGACUUUUAGUAAAUACAGAUGAUCUAAUACAGGGUAACUGUCAUGAGCAAUAAUUGAGUUAAGAAAAUGUUCAAAUAUGGCUGACUCUUAUCAACACAAAAAAAUUUUAGCAAGAUUUUUCAAAGCAGUUGGAUCCUAAACAAGUCCUGGCAAUUAAUGGGUAGUUAAUUAACAGAAAAUAUAAUC